rnacentral:rRNA from 1 species
UACGUAGGGGGCAAGCGUUGUCCGGAAUCAUUGGGCGUAAAGCGCGUGUAGGCGGCUGGGCAAGUCCGCUCUGAAAGCCCGAGGCUCAACCCCGGAUCGGCCGUGCGGACUGCCGCGCUCGAGCACUGUAGGGGCGGGUGGAACUCCGGGUGUAGCGGUGGAAUGCGUAGAGAUCCGGAAGAACACCGGUGGCGAAGGCGGCCCGCUGGGCAGUGGCUGACGCUGAGGCGCGACAGCGUGGGGAGCAAACAGG